GACGGAGGAGGCAAGCGUUGUUCGGAAUUAUUGGGCGUAAAGGGCUCGUAGGCGGAUCGGCAAGUCUGACGUGAAAUCUCCACCGCUCACCGGGGAGAGGUCGUUGGAUACUACCGAUCUGGAGUUUGGCAGAGGGUCGUGGAAUUCCGGGUGUAGCGGUGGAAUGCGUAGAUAUCCGGAAGAACACCGGUGGCGAAGGCGGCGACCUGGGCCAAAACUGACGCUGAGGAGCGAAAGCCAGGGGAGCAAACGGG
rnacentral:rRNA from 1 species